AGUUCGUAUGCAGCCAUCUACAAGACAUGAAGGUAUUUGUAACUCGUUUCCACAACGAAAAUAAGUGCAACCCUCGACUGGAAAAGACUUUUCCUCCCUCCGGCUUACCAGUCCAGAGCUAUGGAAAAGACGACACUCUUAAGAAGGCUGUCUAAACGAUGAUGCCCAUGAUGGAAAUUGCGCAUCUCUCUAGCAAUAUUAUCGACCGAAGAUUAUGGAAAUUAUUCAUACGACCCACAGUUAAGUUUGUUUUAAGAUGAUGCCCAUAAUGGAAGUUGCGCAUCUCUUGAGCAACAUCAUCGACCGAAGAUUAUGGAAAUUAUUCAUACGACCCACAGUUAGCAAAUUUGUCUUAAGAGGGAAAGAAAGACCAUCAUUGGAAAGACCUGCGCCAGUGGAACAGAUUACAAGAGGGACCGUGGGAAAGAUCUGCGUGAGAGGAACCGAGAUUUACUACAAUAGGGAGAAGACCGCUGGAAAGAUCUUCGCUGGAGGAACAGAUUUUGAAGGCGAUUUUACCAAAUGUGUGUGGCUAAGAUAAUUUCUCAAUUUAAUCAAAUUCAUCUGAAAUGUCCUUUAAAAAUUUUUUAAUUGCUGAGAAAAUAGAUAAUUUCUCGAGUUCAUAAACAAUUUCCCGAGGUUGCUGUUCAUUUUUAAAGGGUAUAUAGGGUACCAGAGUUGCCAACUAGUUCAUUGAAGGUAUUUUUUUUGGAGUUAAAUAAGAUUUGCAGUGAGCCGACCACCCAACAUAGUGGUUCCCACCCUACGAAGUUGUUGUUUGUUGUUUGAGGAUUAAGCUGGCUUUAUGCCAGCACGGGCUUUAGCUAAAAAGCAGCCCGUAGUCAUUUGAAUUAUUUUUUAGGUAAAAUGGUGAUUUAAAGGUUAUUUGGUGAGCAUUUUAUUUGUGAUCUCCAUGGAUUAUGAAUUCAAAAAGUGAAAGGAAAGGUGAACAGGCGAGGUUACAAACCCCUUUAAACCCUAGAGUACCCAUUAGUAUUAGAUAAAGAUCGAUAGUAGCGAGUCCUGGCGAGUCAGAGAUGGCCAGUAAGGAAAUCGAAAAAUUUAUCUUAGUAGAAAAACAAAAAAAACGCACAAAUCUAUGGAGUUCAAGUACCAUAUUUCAUUAAUCGAUAAUAGGAUAAAAAGCGCCGAUCGUUAGUGGUAGGGAUCGACGAAAAAAGAACGAAAUUUUAUAAGUUUUAGAAAAAGCAAAACAAAAGGAAGCGACAGCUUAAGCGGUAGUUAGUGACAGUUGAAAUAUUCGGUCGUUAGACAUGAGGCGGCCGAAAAACUGAGGGGAAAUGAGGAUUAUUUAGUAGUAGAAAAACCCUACGAAGGUUGUGGCGUUCCUUAUAUUCUCAUCCCCAUCCAUCCGGACAAGCAGGUUUCCUGUGGAGUCGCCAACUAGUUCAUUCUUGUGCGGUUUGCAGUAUUUUUUGGAGUGAGCGUCCAGUUCGGUGCCCUCGAAUGUUGUGGCGUCCCUUAUAUUCUCCUCCCCGUCCAGAGAAGCAGUUUUCUGUGGAUUUCUCAGUCACCUGCAAAGUAUAACAUUACUUUUCAGCUUCUAUGCUAAUUCAACAAAGCUGUUCAGCUUCUAUGCUAAUUCAACAAAGCUGUUCAGCUUCUAUGCUAAUUCAACAAAGCUGUUCAGCUUCUAUGCUAAUUCAACAAAGCUGUUCAGCUUCUAUGCUAAUUCAACAAAGCUGUUCAGCUUCUAUGCUAAUUCAACAAAGCUGCAAUGCCUCACUGUUAAACGGCAGAUUUGCACUAAAGUGUAACUAAGCAGCAUAAACAUGGCCUUGACAUGCAAAAUUAAAAGAAAAUGAUAGUGACAAAAAGGGCUAUGUUUGCUGCAUAGGGAAUUUAAAGACAUUAUAUUUAUGACUGUCUCUUUAACAAGGUUCGACAAUAUACUUAGUCACAAACUAGUACUUGUAGGCUUAGUAUAAAUACUGAAUAUAGAGCAAAAUAGAUAUCGGCAAAUUUUGUAGGACACUAAAACGUAACAUUUUACUGUAACGUUAUCCUAAACAAUUCAAAGUUAUGUUGCUUCUUCGACCUCUUAGUUCGGAACAACAGGUAUUUCAAAAACUAAGCACAGGCGGUGACAGUUAUGUUAAUAGAGAGACCCAGUGCGAUUUCGCAUUUUGGAAUAAAAAUGAAAAAAAAAAAAAAGUCUACAAAUAUUGUUUAAUGAAGCUAUUCAAGAUGAGUUUCCAUAAGUAUUUUGUUUUAGAAUUAUUUCAAUUAUAUGCGGGAAUUUAUAUGACGUUUUAGAGUUAGUUUAUUUACACCAAACUUCAUUUGCCCUUUACGGUAAUUAAGUAAAUUUAGGAAAUUGUACUUAUUAAAACAAUACUUAAACUAUUGAGUUUACGAUGCAUUAUGGGGAAUUUUAGACUUAUUAACUUUUAAAACUGGUGUUUUAAAACAGACAGAAAUUAGAGAGAGACAGAGAUUGAGUUAUAUACUAAUGGUUGCAGAGCAUGCAAACAAACAACGCGCACAAUCUGUAUACUGCUGCUUAUUAGGCUUACGGUUUACACUACUUAUAUACUACGGAUACAUACUUCACAAGGGAGAUUGAUAGUCCUCCGAGUACUGAGUAGGGAAUGAUGUAAAUAAUCUUUUUAUUUAACGUUACAAUUCGUUACCAAAAUGCCGAGCUCAAAGGAGAUUUUUUUUUAUUAAUUAAAUAUCCAUUGUGUAUUAACUUGGUUAACAAAAAAUAGCUAGAUUUUUAUAUUCUAUAUUAUUGAAUGACUGUACAUUCAUAGACAAAAUGGUAAUUUUUCACUUUGUUUUUAAUCUAACUUCAUCUUUCUAGGAAAACUUCGCUACAUAAAACGAUAAUUGAAGCAAUUAUUAUAAAUUAAAUUGUUAACCACUUUUUUUUCCCAAAUAUUCUUUUAUGAAAUACAUAUCCAUGGAAAUUUUCCUAACUUUACCCACUGGUAGAAAAUCUUUUACCAUGGUAAUAAAGCCAAAGAAAAAUAGAUAAUAGAUUCUAUAAUUUUGCAAAAAAAAAAAAAAAAAAAAAAUUAAAUAAAUAAAAAUACUAAUGCUGAUCUCUUUGAUGAUAAACAUAUCAUUUGGGUCCCAAAUUUCUAAAUCCCAACGUUGAGUCUAUGAAAUAUAUAUUUUUGUAUCUUUAUAAAUCAUUGUAAGGAAUUAUAUUAGAGUAGAAAUGUAGCUUGGAAAGGUAAUUUAUUUUAUUUUAAAGAAUUAAACUUCCCGUAUAUUUUACAAAUACUCUUAUUUUUCAGUUUCCAUAAUGAAAUAAAACAUACAUAUUCAGGUUGAUUAAAUUUAUAUUGAAAAUUUAUGGUUAUUGUUUUUACUCAAGAUUUCAUAUUUAUUUGAAUCUUAUUUCGUGAAUCGUAAAAUCAUAUCUUAUAAAUUUUGAAAUCCAGAAACGAGAUGGAAUUAUGUUAGGGACACAAACUAAUAAACAGUCUUCUCUAAUAUAUGAGUGUGAUGUUGAGCAUUCUAAUAGAUACCAAAAGGGGCAAAUAAAAAUAAGCGAACACCAAUGCCUAAUGAUUUCUUAUGCCCAUCGUGACUUCACUUGAAAGUAGAGAAAAAAUAUUUGACGAAAAUUUGUGCAAAUGUAUUUCAAAUUUAUUUUUACCCAAAUGCACUUUUUUCGUAAGAUGCAUAGUUUUUGAAAAAAAUGGAAAAGAUGGGAAAUGGCAUUUAUACACACAUUUUGAGAGGGAACUUUUUUCUGUGAAAGAUAUUUGAUGGCAAUGCUUUUACUUUUUAUUCCCGGUUGGCCCAUUUAUCGGAGAAACUGUGCUGGACUAUAUUGUUAUAGAGGCCUUUAAUUCCAACCACUUAAAAGACCAGAGUAGCGGUUAUAGUUACGUGUGUAUACUGUCUAUCUUGACUGAAAAAAAAAAUAAUUGGAAAGAUAAGUAACUUGAAGAGUAUGCAUAACGCUAGUUCUAUAACAAUGCUAACAUGCUUUUUCAGUUUCACUUUACCAUCACCACUCAAGGAUAGUAUGGGGCAAGUAUCUCGCACACAUCGUAUCUAACUAAAUGCUCUACACAAACCUCCAGCAACUUCUAACUCAACAACGCAUCCAACCUUAGUUUUCUCUCUCAUUCUUAGUGAACGCUGUCUUAAUCAUUUAGAUUGAUCAAAGAUUCAGUCGCACUCAGGUCCCAUGUCCGGUUACAUGAAUGUGACAUUCCUUGUUACUAUCUUUUUAUCAUCAUGUUAUAACCUUUCCUUCAGAUCGGUGCUUCUUUAACAUGUGAAUAAGUCAUUUCCUUAACUGGUGAAUGAGCCACUGAGUGAAUGAAAUCUUUUGAGGGGUUGAAUGGAA